rnacentral:rRNA from 1 species
AAUAGAUACCCAGGUAGUCCACGCCCUAAACGAUGUCAACUAGCUGUUGGGGUCUUCGGACCUUGGUAGCGCAGCUAACGCGUGAAGUUGACCGCCUGGGGAGUACGGUCGCAAGAUUAAAACUCAAAGGAAUUGACGGGGACCCGCACAAGCGGUGGAUGAUGUGGAUUAAUUCGAUGCAACGCGAAAAACCUUACCUACCCUUGACAUGUCUGGAAUCCUGAAGAGAUUUGGGAGUGCUCGCAAGAGAACCGGAACACAGGUGCUGCAUGGCUGUCGUCAGCUCGUGUCGUGAGAUGUUGGGUUAAGUCCCGCAACGAGCGCAACCCUUGUCAUUAGUUGCUACGAAAGGGCACUCUAAUGAGACUGCCGGUGACAAACCGGAGGAAGGUGGGGAUGACGUCAAGUCCUCAUGGCCCUUAUGGGUAGGGCUUCACACGUCAUACAAUGGUCGGGACAGAGGGUCGCCAACCCGGCGAGGGGGAGCCAAUCCCAGAAACCCGAUCGUAGUCCGGAUCGCAGUCUGCAA